AGUGAACGCUGGCGGUAGGCCUAACACAUGCAAGUCGAACGGCAGCACAGUAAGAUCUUGCUCUUACGGGUGGCGAGUGGCGGACGGGUGAGGAAUACAUCGGCAUCUACUUUUUCGGGGGGGAUAACGUAGGGAAACUUACGCUAAUACCGCAUACGUCCUACGGGUGAAAGCAGUGGAUCUUCGGACCUUUCGUGAUUCAAUGAGCUGAUGCCGGAUUAGCUAGUUGGCGGGGUAAGGGCCCACCAAGGCGACGAUCCGUAGCUGACCUGAGAGGAUGAUCAGCCACACUGGAACUGAGACACGGUCCAGACUCCUACGGGAGGCAGCAGUGGGGAAUCUUGGACAAUGGGCGAAAGCCUGAUGCAGCCAUACCGCGUGAGUGAAGAAGGCCUUCGGGUUGUAAAGCCCUGUUGUUGGGGAAGAACAGCAGCGGGUUAAAACCCCGCUGUUCUGACGGUACCCAAAGAAUAAGCACCGGCUAACUUCGUG
rnacentral:rRNA from 1 species